rnacentral:rRNA from 1 species
UGGCUAACUCCUACGGGAGGCAGCAGUGGGGAAUAUUGCACAAUGGGCGCAAGCCUGAUGCAGCGACGCCGCGUGGGGGAUGAAGGCCUUCGGGUUGUAAACUCCUUUCGCCCGGGACGAAGCCCACCUUGUUGGGUGACGGUACCGUGGAGAAGAAGCACCGGCUAACUACGUGCCAGCAGCCGCGGUAAUACGUAGGGUGCAAGCGUUGUCCGGAUUUACUGGGCGUAAAGAGCUCGUAGGUGGUGUGUCGCGUCGUCUGUGAAAUUCCGGGGCUUAACUCCGGGCGUGCAGGCGAUACGGGCACGACUAGAGUGCUGUAGGGGUAACUGGAAUUCCUGGUGUAGCGGUGAAAUGCGCAGAUAUCAGGAGGAACACCGAUGGCGAAGGCAGGUUACUGGGCAGUUACUGACGCUGAGGAGCGAAAGCAUGGGGAGCGAACAGGAUUAGAUACCCUAGUAGUCCAGCUGG